GUGAGGAAUAUUGCGCAAUGGAGGCAACUCUGACGCAGCCAUGCCGCGUGCAGGAAGAAGGCGCUACGCGUUGUAAACUGCUUUUAACCGGGAAGAAACCCCAGGACGUGUCCUGGGUUGACGGUACCGGAGGAAUAAGCACCGGCUAACUUCGUGCCAGCAGCCGCGGUAAUACGAAGGGUGCAAGCGUUAUCCGGAAUCAUUGGGUUUAAAGGGUCCGCAGGCGGGCUAUCAAGUCAGUGGUGAAAUCCUGCAGCUUAACUGUAGACUUGCCAUUGAUACUGGUGCUCUUGAGUGCGCUUGAAGUGGGCGGAAUGUGCCGUGUAGCGGUGAAAUGCUUAGAUAUGGCACAGAACACCAAUUGCGAAGGCAGCUCACUAAGGCGAUACUGACGCUGAGGCACGAAAGCGUGGGGAUCGAACAGGAUUAGAUACCCGAGUAGUCC
rnacentral:rRNA from 1 species